rnacentral:ncRNA from 1 species
UCCGCGAGGAUGGAUCUGAAGGAAGGAGGAGGCAAAACCGCGAGUCGAUGAACAAGAACCACAUGGUAGGCGUCAGGACAUGGACGAGUCCCCGACUAUGAUUAAGUCCCAGACUGCACGGAUUGUCCUGGUGUAAAUGUGGCGGCUGCAUGCGGUGAAAGAUUU